AAAAUAAAGGUAACAUGGAAACCAUCUUUCUAAAUGACCUUCCCCCAGUGACUAGCCUUAGGAUUUAAAGAAAUUUAGAUCUAGUUAUUAUUUAAGCCCUGGCUAAACCCGUGCCAGCUGCCGCGGUUAAACGAAGAGGGCGAGUGAGUCCAUUCGGGUUACAGACCUAGGCCUACUCUCCCAACUUGAGGGUGAAAUCUAAGUUGGUUAGCAGCCUACACUUGCACCCUGUUAAAGCUCAUAACUAACUGGGAUUAGAUACCCCACUAUUAAGCCGUCAACCCCACCCGAGUAGUACCAGUUAAAGCUUUAAACUCAAAGAAUYUGGCGGUACCCUGCCUCUUUAGAGGACCCUGCCCCAUAAUCGAUGACCCACGUUUUGCCCAACCCAGGUUAAAAGUUUGUAUACCGCCGUCCAGGGGGUGUUGUAAAACUCCCCCUCAAUCAUUUUAUUGAAUAGAUCAGGUCAAGGUGCAGCCUAUGCCUUGGAGGUGGUGGGGUACAUUCCCCAGAGGUCCGAACUUUAAUUUUAAAAUUUAAACGAAGUUGGAUUUAAAAGUAAAUAAAUUUAAUUUAAUAAAUUGACUGAGUCCCAGGGUGUGCACACAUCGCCCGUCACUCUCUUCCCAACAAGAGAUAAGUCGUAACAUAGUAGGGGUACCGGAAGGUGCUCCUAGCCUG
rnacentral:ncRNA from 1 species